CCAGAUGUGCCCAAUCUAUUCAAUGAACAGAGCAUAGUAGAAAAUUUAAAAGUGAUCGCCGAGACAUUUAUCAAUCACAAUUUCUGAGCAAACACCGGAGAAACAUACGAGAAACACCCGCCAUGAAUCGAACAACAGCAAUAUUUGGUAUUCUCCUCAUAUUUGUUGUGAUGCAUGAACUGAAAGGCUUCACCGCUGGUAUUGGCAAUGCAGGACUCGGAAAACGUGACUACGUUUCGAAGGCUCGCAGAGAACUACAGAUGGUCUGCCAUUACGUAAGAAGCAUAGCCAUUCACAAGAGGUCUGGGGAAAGAGAGCAUCAAACGCCGCUCCAAAUAAGGGAGAUUUGUGCUCUGUGACGUCACCGACGAAAGUGUUUGGCAAUUUCAGAUCAUGUACAUUAUAAAUGGAUCAAAGCGCUCCUUUUUUUUUAGAGUUGAUUUGUGUAAAAUAAAGCAAAAAGACUGUUAAGUUUCAUGAUAAA